CCCCCGCGCCCCCGCGCGCACGUCGAGCUCCCGCGCCCGGCUCGCCCGGGGAGGUCCCGAGCUGCGGCUGCUGCGGCGGGUCAGGAGGGCGGGGGCUGCGGGGGCGCGCCGGCCGGGCUGCGGGGUUCGCCUCCCGGAGCCGCGGGGGAACAAUGACAGCCGGAUGGGAAGUGGGAGGGGGGCUGGAGCAGCCUCCGGAAAGCGCCCCUGCCCGCACCGGUGUUCUCGUGCUCGGCGGUGCUAAAACAAGCUUGCUCCGAAGAGCUGUAGAUGCUGUUUCUGCCGAGUGAAAAUACUUUCUGUUGGCUCUGCUGUUACACACCUGUGUGUGAAGAAGGGAUUUGAUGGACUGACUCGCUGCCCAGAAAGCGAGUGCUGUAGGUAGUAUUUCAUGACAGUUGGGGGGCGGAGGAAAUGCAGGCUCAUCUAGACAAAAUUUCCCCGGUGAUCCCAGGGGCAGAGCAGUCCUCGGUGUGGGGUCUGGCUUACAAAGAGCGGACAGAUCCUGCCCGAAAGCAAACACCUGCUUGGCCUGGACUGCGGAGAGAGGAAGUGAUCGUGAAACGAGAACAGAGCUCUACCUGUGACUGCCCCGAGAAACCCGGCGAGGGGGUCAGGAGUUCACCCGUCUCUUCCCUAAGUCAGGACUGUACCCUGACCCCCUACUGACACUGGUUGGUCCCAAAGCCCACCCGUGACCAGCUGCUUCGGGCAAUAGGAAGUAAUACCAUGGCCGUCUGGGGCCAACGCAGGUACGCCUCCCUUCACGGAAGCUUCCUAGCUAAGGAAGAACAGGACACUGUGUGUCCACCCAGCUCCUCCUAGCCCCAGUACCCCCGGCUUUAGAGUGUGCACGUGACCCGGGCUGUCCCUCAUGCGCCCCACUGCCCCAGCCCUGGUGCUAGAAGCCAAAAGAGACCGAAUGCAACUCCGUGGUAGCAAUUAAAAAGCAGGAUUUAUUUCGUUCAUGGCGGCAAAGCUGCGAGCUGCAAGACCUUUGUUCUCAACUCCCGCAGCAGUGACGGGCGCUUUGCGACAAGCGUCACAAAACGUGAGCACAGUGUAAGGGCCCCCUGGGGAAGGGCCUUGCGAGGAGGUGGCACCUUGGUCCUCUCUUCUUUCUUUCUUCUGCUGCCUUAAACAUCAGCUGUGCUGCCAAGGGCUUAAUGAAGGAGCUGGCCUCGCUGGGGUUUUCACCCUUGGUGUGGGCAGGACAGGGCCUGAGGGCUCCGGAGUGGCAGCUGCCACUUGGACCAGUUCAAUCCAAUCCACACGAGGGUGUGAAGAAAAGCACGUGUGGCUCUUUGGAGAGCCACCGAUAUACCAGUCUGCCGGCCCUGCUCACUAUCCUGGGUCACCUUCCCGAGAGGAUACUCUCGGAUGAAUUCCUGUUGGACUUGACUUUUCCCACAUUAUCUCGUGUCUGUCUCCAGGAAGCUGGAAAUUUGGCCACCAGACCUCCCCGUCCCGUGGCAGAGAAGCCCAUCCCCCAGAGCCUAUGUGGCAACCGGAGUAAGAAGCUUCCACGGGGCUCAGUCUGGGCCGGGCUUUGAUAGAAGCAUUUGACAUGGAUCAGCUCCCGUAAUCCUCAUAGUAAUCCGCGGGGGUUAGAAUCAUUUCCUUUUUAGAAACUAGGAAACUGAGGCACAGAGUUCAUUUACUUCACAGUGUGUCAUUUUGUCCUAAAACAGAACAGAGGACAAAAGGCCAAACCCUGACAUCCAUGCCAAUCCUCCUUCUGCUCGGGUCCUCCCCCACCACUGCUGUUACCAUAGCUCCACGUACAGACUGGGGGGCUUAACGACAGAAACUUAUUCAACUGGUCCCCUACUGGCUGUUUCCAAACUCCUGCUCUUAUAAACAACACUGCACCAAGCAUCACUGCAUAUCUAUGAGAUGAAUUACUAGAAGAGGGAUUUUUGAGUCAAAGGGCAUGUCCAUUUGUAACUUUUUAAAAAUCUAGUUUAAAAUCUAUUGAUUUAUUUUAGAGAGAAUGCACAUGAGUGGGAGAUGCACAAAGGUUCUCAAGCAGGCUCCACGGUGAGUGAGGAGCACAAGGCAGGGCUUGAACUCACGACCCUGAGUUCACGAGCUGAGCCAAAACCAAGAGUCGGAGGCUUAACCGACUGUGCCACCCAGGCGCCCCUGCAUUUGUAAUUCUGAUGGCGGCUGCUCUCCACAGAGGUCGGAUGGAUCUGCCCUCCCACCAACACUGUUUGAGGCCACCUGUUGUGCUAUAGCUUCACCAACACACCAACAAAAUCGUAUCAAACCCUGCCAAACUGAUGGGCCAAAAAAAUUAAAUAAAUGAUAGAACUCCACUGUACUCUAACUUGUCAUCUGUGUGUUUCCAGUUAGACUGAGCAUCUUUUUACCUGUUCAGGAGCCAGGAGCCAUGACCCCAGAUGGGGGACAGCCGUGCCCUCGGGCCGGGCCCUGGACACAAGUCGUCCAUCCUGACCUCUAGAGUCAACAGAGCUGCAUCUCAAGGCACCAAGUCAAAUGCUGCUUUCCAAAUGGCGGGGCUGCCGGCAUGAUGGACCAAAACCAGAAUAGCAUACUUUCUUACUUUCUAGUUUUAGUAUUUUUUUUCUGGUGCUAAAAUAACAUACAAUCCAGACAAAAAAGAAUAUGAAAGAAAAUGUAGGGGCACCUGGGUGGCUUAGCCAGGUAAGCCUCUGCUUUCAGCUGGUCAUGA